CUAAAGGCGCAGAAGGAAGCAAGUAUCUGCUAUGAUUGAAUCAGAGAAACGGCGGUUGGUGCGAGCCGUGUUCGUUAGGCAGAGAAACUCACUCCGGAGCUGUGUUCAGGUUGUAAUGAACACCGGUGAGAACCGUUAAAUUCUAUGUAAGAGCAAAAUGAAUUAGGGUGGUACCGCGGGAGUAGACUCUCGUCCCUUAG
rnacentral:ncRNA from 1 species